rnacentral:rRNA from 1 species
AAUCCCCGAGCUCAACUUGGGAAUUGCAUUGGUGACUGCCCGGCUAGAGUGUGGCAGAGGGGGGUAGAAUUCCACGUGUAGCAGUGAAAUGCGUAGAGAUGUGGAGGAAUACCGAUGGCGAAGGCAGCCCCCCUGGGAUAACACUGACGCUCAUGCACGAAAGCGUGGGGAGCAAACAGGAUUAGAUACCCUGGUAGUCCACGCCCUAAACGAUGUCAACUAGUUGUUGGGGAUUCAUUUCCUUAGUAACGUAGCUAACGCGUGAAGUUGACCGCCUGGGGAGUACGGUCGCAAGAUUAAAACUCAAAGGAAUUGACGGGGACCCGCACAAGCGGUGGAUGAUGUGGAUUAAUUCGAUGCAACGCGAAAAACCUUACCUACCCUUGACAUGCCACUAACGAAGCAGAGAUGCAUUAGGUGCUCGAAAGAGAAAGUGGACACAGGUGCUGCAUGGCUGUCGUC